rnacentral:tRNA from 1 species
GGCCGUGUGGCGAAAUGGCAUCGCGUCUGACUACGAUUAGUCUAAAACGUGAAUCAGGAGAUUGCAGGUUCGACCCCUGUCUCGGUCA